GUGCUAUAAGAAAUGUCCUAAUUUUAAUAUACCUUUAUCUUGUGAUUGAACAACCUAAUUAGUGCAUAUUCUAUGCUGAAUUUUAUUGUGUCUCAAAUGUAUAUGAAAAUGCAUUGUUGCAAGCCAAACGUUUGGAAAUGAGAAACUAUUUUGUUCAGCGUAUAAUCUCUCUCUCUCUCUCUCUCUCUCUCUCUCUCUCUCUCUCUCUCUCUCUCUCUCUCUCUCUCUCUCUCUCUCUCUCUCUCUCUUCGCUGGUCUAUCAUGAUUAUCAUCGUAUGUGUUGCUGUAAAUAGUGCAUGACUAGAUAUUGAAUUAAUAUACUGUAAUUUAAAGUUGCAGGACCCCACUGAAAAACAUUUCGGUGAUGUGGGUAUCCUGGAUAAAUAUGAAGACAAU